rnacentral:rRNA from 1 species
CACGUAGGGUGCGAGCGUUGUCCGGAAUUAUUGGGCGUAAAGAGCUCGUAGGCGGUUUGUCGCGUCUGCUGUGAAAACUCGAGGCUCAACCUCGAGACGUCGGCGGAAACCAUCUGGCUAGAGUCCGGAAGAGGAGAGUGGAAUUCCUGGUGUAGCGGUGAAAUGCGCAGAUAUCAGGAAGAACACCCGUGGCGAAGGCGGCUCUCUGGGACGGUACUGACGCUGAGACGCGAAAGCGUGGGGAGCGAACAGG